GACCUAAUCUGGAGAAAAGUCAUGGUGUC
rnacentral:piRNA from 1 species